ensembl:lncRNA LINC02020 long intergenic non-protein coding RNA 2020
UCCACACUAUCCAAUAUGGUAACCACUAGCCACUUGUGACUACUGAGUGUCUGAAAGGUGACUGGUUCUGCUUGAAUUCUUGCCCUGGCUCUUGGUGAAGGAUCGGCCUGCUGGAUCUGAGUCAUCCACCUAUAAGAGGGACAACACCACACAUUGGUCGCUGCUCUCAAGCCCCUGGAAUACCACCCCACUUGGCUUCUCCUGAUACCACCCACAUAAACAAAAACUUUUUGGGAGUCCUCCAGAAUUUUUAAGAGUUAUCUAAACUAUUGCCUUUAAUGACCAGGAACUCCAAUUUGAGAAGUUACCCUACGUUAAGCCAACAGCAGCCUGGCUCCUUCAUCCUGUGCAGUAUGGGACAGAGCUGGGUCCUUGUUGUCAUCAGCCAGACAAGCACACAUUAAAGCCCACCUUAGCCAUUGGCAUUACAGCUUUAAAAGCAGCUCCAUCCUACCAUGCUGUCACUCUACUCAAUCACGUGAUCUUAACGACCAGCUCUACAUAUCCUCUCUCCAUGCCCCCACCACCAUCCCCCACCAACAAAUCCGGUAAUCUAUCUCUGUCAAUAGUCCUGCAGUGAAUUCCGAAUAAGUUUUUCUCUUCCCUGGCCUGCCGUUUACGUAGUACCCUGGAUGAAUCUAUACUUACUCCAUAGUAAGUAGUACCUUGGAUGAAUCUAUACUUGCAUCCAAUGGAAAUGAGAGUGAUGGUGCAGAGUUAUCCGAAGUAACUCCAGCUAUGUUGUGGAUCUUCUAAUCAUGGGCUCAUCUAAGCCUUCCCAGAUAUCACUCUAGUUUUUACAAUCUUUGUUUAUGACAAUUAGGGCUGUAACAUUGGCUGUAGACAUUUGUUGCAUCAAGGAACUCAGCUUCCACUGAAGUUCUGAAGUUAAUCAGUUUCUGAUCUUGUUCUGCAACUCUCUGCAAGAAGAAAAAUCACCAGGAAAUAGUGCAUCCUGAAAGGAGUCAAAGUUUCCUUAUCCAGCUGGAGCAGUGUGAUCUCGGACCAGAGUCAAUUCCUUGCCCAACAGACUUCACAUUGAGCCAUGAGAAGCAGCCUACUUACCCUUACCUGGACACUUCUCCAAAACCUGUGAAAUGGCCUCUGUCACUGCCUCAAAGCCUCAUCCUUGGUGGGCAACUCACCUGGAUCCUGAGACCAAAAUAUAGAGCUUAAUGAACUGC